CUGAAGGGAAAUGAUAAACUAGUGGUCAGCUGCACGGGUAAAAACAUGGAAAAACACGGUCAAAACAAAAUUAAGAUUCUGUUUGAGCAACGCAAAAAAAAACAUCAUUUUUCUCAGAUGAAUAUUUAGUCAAAAUGUUUUAUUUAAAGGGAAACUCUUUAAAUUAAACACACCGAAAUAACUGCUUUUUAUAUCGUGUUGCCUUUCCCUCAGGCUCAAUCUCUUACAUCCAAUGGGGGGCAGGGAGGCAGGGCCUGGGGUACUGCCUCCCUCCCCCCAAUUGGCUCGCUAACGCCGGGACUGGUGUCAGUGUGGUGCAGUUUUGAUCUACGUAUGUAUUGACGAUUGCUCCGCUGCUGCUUAUGUGCCCCGCAGUGACAUCUUGUGGCAAAAGUCUGAUACUGCACCCACUGUGUGACCUCAUCGCUGCAGAUUGGCUGUUCCGUUGGUCCCGAGCAGUAGAGUCACAGGGCGGACAGGGUCACAGAUCAGUCGGUCUGCAGCAGACACACUGUAGCCUCGUGAGCAGUAACCGUGCAGCUCAGGUGAUUCCACUGCUGCUCUGAAAUCAGAGCCCUUCCAUCGACGUUCCAUCACGACGUUGUCACCCAUUCAACACCUGAGGCCAAGGACUGCGUCAGGAAGACGGAUUAUUGUGUCACGGGAAGAAUGUGUGUUGGUCGUGAUGAGGGUGUGAGAUUAGUCCAGAGGAAAUAGUUGUUUACUGUAUUGAUUCACUCAGUAGAACAUGCAGACAAGGAGCCUUGGACUGUCAAAAACCCCAACAACAGGGACAUUUGACGGACAGAUAAAUACAAGUUUGAAUGAGCGAGUGUCAAAGGAGUCUUUUCUCCGCCUGUUUAAAAGUCUGCUAGUUAGCUGACCUUCACACAGCACAGAGAGUUAUAAUAUAAAACACAACACAUUUAUUUAUUUUUUUAAAUCAUUGUUUAAUACCUCUGAACUUGAAUGCUUAUUAGAUCUGGACCUUUUGACCAUGAUGUCAGUGAAGAAAAGAACCACAGGAACCACGAUGACACAAGAACAACAACGAGCCAACAAAGACAGAGUGAGGGGUAGUUACAGUCAGGUGAGACUGAAGAAGAGAGAGUCACAGGACACAGGUGAGGGUAAUGACACUGAUUAACCAGCAGAGGCAGACAGACAGGACAAUACGGCUCAUAUUUUCAAGUACAACCAAAACCUGUCCACAAUCUUUUCUGGAUAUCUUGUCCCAUUGUAAUCUCCCAGUCCCACUUGGACUCAGAGCUGUGGAUUGUGGGAUGCUCAUGAAACAACUGGCUGAUUUGGUUUUAUAGAACCACCAACCGUCGUCCAGCAGGGCGUCUGCAGGGGGGGGAUCUGUGUGAGUCAAGUCGGCGACUUACCCACGAAGUACUGACUCCAUUUGCGAUUUCCUCAUGUGGUGCAGAUUUCAGAGUCGACGUCUCGGCACAGCUAUACUCAAGGGAGCAAACGCAGCAGCGCAUGAUAGCAAGGAACUUGUUGAAGAUGUGGCACCGUGCUCCGUGAUCUUUGGAACUGGUCGAGGAUGUUCUCACUGAGUGUUGUAGACGGAUAAAAUGCACCCGUGGUCUGUGGUUGCUGACCACAGCUCUUCUGGCACAGUUUAAAGCUCAUGUCUCCUCGGCUGUGGUCAUGCAUCCACCCAACAUGAAAGUACAGCACUAAUUAAAACAUCCUAAUUACAAAACUGGAUGUAGCCCUCCACGAAUAGGACGCACAGAAAAAGAGGAAGUUCAGCAAAAAACUCAUCUGGGGAUAACAUCUGCGUUGAUGACUCUCCAGAGAAUGCAAAAAAAAAAAAACAAAAAAAAAAAAACAAAACUGUGUUUGGCCUGCUGGAUUUACAAAGCCGUAAAUCAAAGGGGCCGUAUUUGGGCCCCGGGCCAUAGCAUUUACAUGUGAUGUGGGUGAGACAACAUUUUCAGCGUUCAAAUGCACAAACCAGUUAAGGAAUCAAAUUCUUCCUUUUUCAGUUUGAACCUCCAGCAGACGGUGGAAUUGAUAGAACCAACAAGUUAAAAAGGUUCACCAGAGUACUUCAAGGUUCAAGUAUCACUUAAAUACAACACACGCCUUGUUGUUAUCAUCAUGGCUGAGAACUCUGGGGAAAUCUGGUUUAGGUUUUAUAUGCGAUUUAAUUUCAUAAAUAUUUAAAUUGUGAUUUGCAAGAAAUAUUGAAACUGCUGCCGUACAAGUAUCUCAGCUGUUACAGAUCACCUUGUUGUUAAGUGGCACAGUGUGUAGUACAAUACUACAUCUAUAUUCAUUAGUUAAUUUUCAAUGUGACUGAAUGUACUGCUUUAAACAAACCAAUAACGUUCCACCAGGACAGGAGUCUUCAACCUGUGGCUCCUGGGCCACAUGUGGCUCCUCAGAGCUUUUCUUUCCCCAAAUGUCAAACUUUAUUUUUAUAAACAAAACAAAACAUUAAUACUGACUCAUCGACACUGUGGAACAACUGCCAGGCUGUGGAUAUUGGAUAUUGGUGGAUAGUGACUAUGCACUAUUGCCUUUAUUUACUUAGUUGAUGGGUUUGUUUUGUUGUUAUAUUUUGUUGCAAAAUGAUAAAAUUGCCUCUUCUGUUGGUGAAGCUUUUAAAUCCAUGUGCCACAGCAUGAAACCUAUGAACCCAUUUUUAUCUUCUGCUGUAGAUAAAUAGCAGCUGCAGAGUGUGAUAGAUUAAUUGAAUGCUGUGUGUUUCCACAUCUGGUUGAUUGUGGUUCACUGAGUUUAUUUUUUUAAGUAUUUUGUCUUGUUUGCAAAGCCUGCAUGCUGCAGUCAUCAAGUCUGCCCUCUGAAGUGGUUAAAUCAAAACGAUGUGCGAGCUACGGCCAUCAUUAGCUGCCGAGGUGACAGGGGUCACAGUACUGCGUGGUGUGUGGAUCCAUACUUGACUGCUGUUCAAAAAGUAUUGAUAAAUGAAUCAGUUAAUUUGUUGAUUUGUCAUUUUCUUUAUGAAAAAAAAUUGCAUUUGUGGUUCAGAGAGUACAUGAACAAGCAGCAUGCAGGCUAAUCGGGGAUUCUCUGAGGUAUUCAUGGGAGAUGUUGGAAGGAGAAAAGGAAAUUAUUUUUUUGGUUUUGCAACUAAAAUGUAAAAAGCCAAAAACACAGGCUGUUUAAUUGAUAGCAGGCAAUAAUAAAGUAAAGUGCCAUGUUUUCACCCUGCUGCCCUGAAGCACUGGACUUUUAUCCUUCUGUCAAAGCCAUUAGAGGCAUUUUCAGCCAGCUUUAAAAACGCUGUGGUGUUCCCACACAUUCAAACAUUUAGGGUGAUUAUUAUCUUAGCUGCAUGCUAGAUAUUUCCAAGCAGAGGCUGUGAGUUGAUGUGAGGUGAGGGAUGAAUAUUAGAAUGUGACCAGAUCACGUCCCUGGACGUGAGAAGAGACGUCCCAUUAAGGUGGAACAGGAAAGAGAGACCGAGUGUAUAUCAAACAGAACCAAGUAUUUAGUCUAUUCCAUAACUACCCAGGGACAUAUUGAUAACACCGCACAGCCCAGAACAAACCACACGUGCUGGCAAAAAGGCUGUAAGUUAAUGUUGUCCUCACUGUGUCUGUCUAAAUGUUUGUGAGCAAUGCACGCAAACCUGUUUUCACAUAUCCUGUCUCUGUUGAUUUCUGUUGUAUCGCUGCAUGUUUUUAUCCCCGGACUUUUGUGAUAAUCACACAGAUGAUGAAAAUAAAUGAAUACCAGAUCACACUUAAUUCACUGCCUUCACUGUGGUACUACAACAUAACUGCACAGUAUGUGUUUAUGUUUGGGACUGGAUCCAACCUAACAGACGGUCAAGAGUUUCCUCCUAAACCCCUCACC